UACGAAGGGGGCUAGCGUUGCUCGGAAUUACUGGGCGUAAAGCGCACGUAGGCGGAUCGUUAAGUCAGGGGUGAAAUCCUGGAGCUCAACUCCAGAACUGCCUUUGAUACUGAAGAUCUCGAGUCCGGGAGAGGUGAGUGGAACUGCGAGUGUAGAGGUGAAAUUCGUAGAUAUUCGCAAGAACACCAGUGGCGAAGGCGGCUCACUGGCCCGGUACUGACGCUGAGGCACGAAAGCGUGGGGAGCAAACAGG
rnacentral:rRNA from 1 species